GUAAGCCUCAUAAAGGCUGGGAAAUGUGUCUGCUUUGUUGACCAAGGUAUGCCCAAUGCUGGCCAAAAUAAACAUGUUUAAUGAAUCUCUGUGGAAUAUAGGAGUGAAUAUAGAGGAGAAGGAGCUUAUUCAGGGUGGAUUUUCGCUCACCCUAAAGAAGUGAAAUGAAAGCAAACUUUGGUGGUUUUUGUUUAACUGUGAGCAAAUUGGUAUGGACUGAGAAAUUCAAUUAACUGUAUUCAUCAAUUUUUGUCUCUGGGGUACAGUCAUGAGAGUAAGACCCAGAAUUCUUGGUCCCACCCCUUUUGUGGCAUUAAAAAAAAAGCCUUGGCAUAUUACACCAACCAGAUUUUUUUCUUUGUCUCAAAGAAGGCUCAGCUGAACGUUACAUUCCUCCCCCCCAUACAACAAUCAAAAACUCAGAAAACCUCAGCUGCCUCAGAUGAUGUCACAAAACCCUUAAGAAUGCUCACUGCUGAGUUGGGCACAGGUCCAGCAAACACAAUUCUUUCUGCCAGUUAUUCAGGGUCUUUGACAGAUUAGGUGGUCUUUUUUCUUCUUCUUCUUCUUUUUUUCAUCCUCUUAAAAGGCAGUUCAGUUUACCUCUAAGCAAGACAUUAGCUCUGGCUGCCCCAAAUAACAUUUUAAUUGAAGUCUCAGUCCAAACAAAUGCCUGGCCUCUUUAUUAACCCCAACAGUGUAAUUUUUCAACCUAAGACUGAUUCAGGGGGAAACUGUCUCACUUAAACUGCCAUGCAACGGAACAUGGCAGUUUUCCUCAAUCAGUCUCUUUUCUGACCUUAAUUUGAACCUUAAUCUCUUUUAACCAUGUUCUCUUUAUUAGCUGCUCAUAGCCGUGGCACAAUGCUAAUUUUCCUGUUUUUAGACGAUCAGUUUACAGAGGUAUUUCACUCCCCCUCGUGCCCCCAACUGUAACCAAGAUUUCAUGGACCUUUUUGGGAAAGGAAAGGGCAGAAGAGCUCCUUGGCACUGGAACCCUCCUGGUCUGGUGAGGGAGGAAUGAGGAUACACAGGCGCCAUCCAAAACUUCCUAUGUUCAGAUUGAGGAAAGAGGUUGGGCCAGGCCUUUGGAUUCUCAUUACCUAAGGACGGUUCUGACUGUGAGAGCAAAUCACAGAAGGACAACCUUGAUGUCACCUGUAUAUAGAAGAUGUAGAGCCAUUAUCUGGAAAGAAUCUGGAUUCCUGAUUCACUGCUUGGAGGAGAGCAGCCUGGGACAGCUGCCCAACCAGGAAUAGUCACAUUACACUUUUUGUGUAACAUAUAAGAAAUAAACUUUCAUAUGUUAAGCCACUGAGCUUUUGAGGAUUGUUUAUUUUAUCAACAAGCAUUACUUACCUUGACUAAAACAGAAAUUGGUACCAGAAGGGAGUUCUAGAAGCAAUUGCUUUUUCUUUUUAUCUGUGCUUAAAAACCAGUUAAUUAUUUCCUGAUAUCCUCUUAUUCUCCUGUUAUGUUGUCAAAAGCAGCCAAUAACAACCAACACGUGCUAUUUUUCAUGUAAAAGCUCAAGAGUCACGUGGUCUAACUUUGAAGUUACCAAAGGCAACAGUUUUGCCAAGUGUUUUUCCACUGUGUGAUAUGGAUCUCCAGCCAUCCCUCCUAAUAUAUCUGCUUCUAGCAACUUGACCACAAAGUCAGUGCCACAUAUUUUAGGGUUUUGUUACAGGACACCACAUCUGGUACCAAAUAUAACAAUCAAAUUUAGUCAGAAAAAUAGAAGCCUCUUGUGGCAGAUAGAAUGUAAUGUGUUCACCAAACCAUUUCUUCUUCCUGGGCACAGGAGAAGAUCGUAAUCCCCUCCCCUUUGCAAUUUAAUUGGGGCCGUAGGACCAAUUCUUUGUAACGGAAUGUAAACAGAAGUGCUGUGCCACCUUUGGUCCAGGAGGUUAAGAGUGCCAAUAUGCUUUCUCUAUGUUCUUUCCUCCUCUU